UGACUGUGGCACGGGAGUUAACCAUGACCCUUUUAGGUGGUUCUCCCAAAGUGAGGCCUUUCAUUGCACUCCGGUUGGGUUGACCUUUGCGAUCGCCUCAAAUGCGGGAGACUCAGGUACACUAUUUCUAAGUAUGAGGCCUGCGUUCGCACUCAUCAC